GCAGGCCUAAGACAUGCAAGUGCGAACGGUAACAGGAAGCAGCUUGCUGCUUUGCUGACGAGUGGCGGACGGGUGAGUAAUGUCUGGGAAACUGCCCGAUGGAGGGGGAUAACUACUGGAAACGGUAGCUAAUACCGCAUAAUGUCGCAAGACCAAAGAGGGGGACCUUCGGGCCUCUUGCCAUCGGAUGUGCCCAGAUGGGAUUAGCUUGUUGGUGAGGUAACGGCUCACCAAGGCGACGAUCCCUAGCUGGUCUGAGAGGAUGACCAGCCACACUGGAACUGAGACACGGUCCAGACUCCUACGGGAGGCAGCAGUGGGGAAUAUUGCACAAUGGGCGCAAGCCUGAUGCAGCCAUGCCGCGUGUAUGAAGAAGGCCUUCGGGUUGUAAAGUACUUUCAGCGGGGAGGAAGGGGUUAAGGUUAAUAACCUUAGCCAUUGACGUUACCCGCAGAAGAAGCACCGGCUAACUCCGUGCCAGCAGCCGCGGUAAUACGGAGGGUGCAAGCGUUAAUCGGAAUUACUGGGCGUAAAGCGCACGCAGGCGGUCUGUCAAGUCGGAUGUGAAAUCCCCGGGCUCAACCUGGGAACUGCAUUCGAAACUGGCAGGCUUGAGUCUCGUAGAGGGGGGUAGAAUUCCAGGUGUAGCGGUGAAAUGCGUAGAGAUCUGGAGGAAUACCGGUGGCGAAGGCGGCCCCCUGGACGAAGACUGACGCUCAGGUGCGAAAGCGUGGGGAGCAAACAGGAUUAGAUACCCUGGUAGUCCACGCCGUAAACGAUGUCUAUUUGGAGGUUGUGCCCUUGAGGCGUGGCUUCCGGAGCUAACGCGUUAAAUAGACCGCCUGGGGAGUACGGCCGCAAGGUUAAAACUCAAAUGAAUUGACGGGGGCCCGCACAAGCGGUGGAGCAUGUGGUUUAAUUCGAUGCAACGCGAAGAACCUUACCUGGUCUUGACAUCCACAGAACUUGCAGAGAUGCCUGGCCUUCGGACUGUGAGAACAGUGCUGCAUGCUGUCGUCAGCUCGUGU
rnacentral:rRNA from 1 species